UACUUUCAUUCCCUGAUUUUAUUAGUGAAUGACAUAAAUGUUUUAUUUUCUGGCCUGUUUUAUUAGAUCAUCAACUUUCUGUUGUUGGCAAGGUUCAUGUUUGGUCUUACAAUUGUCUGUUGACAGAAUAUUUGUAUGUGAUAAAUUUGUCUAUAUUUUAUAGUUGGUGUCAUUACAAUAAAUCUUAAUAGUCCCUCUGUAUGCAGGGAUAAGACUGCUCCUGCAAGAGCCUUGUGCUUGUUGUGUUUGAUCAGUAUAGUUCUGUUAUUUAUGUGAAUCUUUGAGAAGACAUAGUUGGAGGACAUUAUUUAGAUAAAUUAGACCAAGCACCAAGGUAAUUUUGAGAAUAAUGCAGAAAUCACCAGCAACAGAGGGAAAUGCUCCUUCUAGAGGACAAGUUUAAGAUUGAAGUAUUCAACAGUUAGGCCAGUCUUCAAUUAAACUAGUCUUGAAAAAGCACAAAGAAACAUGGUCCGGGUUUCAGUCAGCCCUCGGCUCGGAACUGUACCUACUGCCUGUUUCAUAUGGUUUUAGGUGGUACACCAGUCUUUGAAAGGAAUGCUUAGUUGAGACAUCUCUUUUUCCAGGAAAUGCCAUGUUCAACCUUUUGAUGUGAUAGGAAAAUGACUGUUUUGAGCAUAACAUAGUUCGUGAUGAGGUAUAUCCAUGAUGAUGUUUUGGAUUAUGUGAGUUCUCUUCAUUUGUGUACAUGGUUUGAGCAGAGAUUUUUUUCUACUCUGCAGCAAGCGAAAAGAGAGCAAGUGAAUAUGGGAACGAUCAGAUGAGAGAGGCCUUAAAUGUUGUGCUCAAGUUGGAACAAUGGAAGCUAUGGAAAGCCCAAGGGAAACCAGUCUCAUAUAGUCUUCCUCUGUAGCCGUCACCGAGCACCAAUCUCACAAUUCAGCAAUCAGAGAAUGAUGGUCGAUCAAGCCUUGUGCUUGCGAGUUUGACAAGGCAGCAAUGGCGCACAUCAAGAAAGUUCCAGUAAGAUUGUCAAAUGGCUUCCAUCACCACGAGGCCAUUGAUGGGUUUCAACAAGAGGAGUUUGUGCAGAUGGUUGAGAAGCUCAACCGAGAGAAGGUGGUUGCAGAAGCAGGAACAAGGACUAAUUACGCCAUCUGAUGAAGGGGGGUGUACGUAGCUUCAGCCUCAUCAGCUUUCUAUUCCUGCAGAUCAAUGCUGCUAUACUUCAGAUGUUCUCCCAUACAGCAAUCUGGAGGACAUCUUCACAUCUUGCUGCAAGUAUGGCUCAUAGGAUACAAAGUUGCAGUAAGUGGGAAGUAUAAUGGAAAGCAGUCUGAUAGAUCUCUAUCCGAGAGACUGCCCUGCGUUCGAGGAUGUGAAACUCCAUUUACAGGCGCAGGUGAAACGAAAAAAAUGGAGGCAUCCUUGGAUAAAACACCUUUCUUACUGAAAGCCUGGGGUCUUCUCCAUCAACUCUACUCAUGUAAAGCUUAGAAUUUGUACCGAGUAGAGUUGAUUGAAAGUUGCUACGCAUCAAAUCAUUAGAUGCGAUGGCAUGACAUACAUGACUUGUGUAAAGCUUAGAUUUUGGACUACGUAGAGUUGAUUGAAAGUUACUUCAUAUUACAUCGUCACACAGGAAAUAAGCUAUCGAAGUGCAUUCAAGUGUAAACCUCCAAUGGUCCGAAAAUAACUCAGUUAUGGUGGAUGUGAAGAUUGUAAUUUUUGUUUUCCA